CCUACGGGAGGCAGCAGUGGGGAAUAUUGGGCAAUGGGCGCAAACCUGACCCAGCAACGCCGCGUGAAGGAAGAAGGCUUUCGGGUUGUAAACUUCUUUUCUCAGGGACGAAGAAAGUGACGGUACCUGAGGAAUAAGCCACGGCUAACUACGUGCCUGCAGCCGGGGUAAUCCGUAGGUGGCAAGCGUUAUCCGGAUUUACUGGGUGUAAAGGGCGUGUAGGCGGGACUGCAAGUCCGAUGUGAAAACCACGGGCUCAACCUGUGGCCUGCAUUUGAAACUGUAGUUCUUGAGUACUGGAGAGGCAGACGGAAUUCCUAGUGUAGCGGUGAAAUGCGGAGAUAUUAGGAGGAACACCAGUGGCGAAGGCGGUCUGCUGGACAGCAACUGACGCUGAGGCGCGAAAGCGUGGGGAGCAAACAGGAUUAGAUACCCUGGUAGUC
rnacentral:rRNA from 1 species